rnacentral:rRNA from 1 species
GAUGAACGCUGGCGGCGUGGAUAAGGCAUGCAAGUCAAGGGGAGCCGAUGUUAUAAUCGGUUAACCGGCGAACGAGUUAGUAAUACCCUGGUACAUACCCUGAAGUUGGGCAUAGCCAGCCGAAAGGUUGGAUAAUUCCCAAUAGUUCUCGCGAGAGUAAAGAAGCAAUUCGCUUCAGGAUUGGCCUAGGUCCGAUCAGCUAGUUGGUAAGGUAAUGGCUUACCAAGGCAAUGACCGGUAGGAGGGGUGAGAGCCCGAUCUCCAACGACGAAACUGAGACACGGUUCGUACACCUACGGGUGGCAGCAGUCGAGAAUAUUCCACAAUGGGCGAAAGCC